rnacentral:rRNA from 1 species
AGCAGCCGCGGCAAUUCCAGCUCCAAUAGCGUAUAUUAAAGUUGUUGCAGUUAAAAAGCUCGUAGUUGAAUUUCGGGGUUAGUACGCUGGUCAUGCCUUCGGUAUGUACUGGUGUUACCGAUUCCUACCUUCUGAAGAACCGUCAUGUCAUUAGUUUGGUGUGGCGGGGAAUCAGGACUGUUACUUUGAAAAAAUUAGAGUGUUUAAAGCAGGCUCGCGCUCGAAUACAUUAGCAUGGAAUAAUGAAAUAGGACGUUCGAUCCUAUUUUGUUGGUUUCUAGGAUUGACGUAAUGAUUAAUAGGGAUAGUUGGGGGCAUUAGUAUUCAAUUGUCAGAGGUGAAAUUCUUGGAUUUAUUGAAGACUAACUACUGCGAAAGCAUUUGCCAAGGAUGUUUUCAUUAAUCAAGAACGAAAGUUAGGGGAUCGAAGACGAUCAGAUACCGUCGUAG